rnacentral:lncRNA from 1 species
AAAUUUUGAUUAAAGACUGGUUCUUGUAAUUGGGAAUAGAGAAGGGGAAGAAGAAGAAGAAGAAGAAGAAGAAGGUGAGAAGAAAGAAGAAGAAGAAGAAGAAGAAGAAGAAGAAGAAGAAGAAGAAGAAGAAGAAGAAGAAGAAGAAGAAGAAGAAGAAGAAGAAGAAGAAGAAGAAGAAGAAGAAGAAGAAGAAGAAGAAGAAGAAGAAGAAGAAGAAGGUGAGAAGAGAUUCUUGUUCUUUACCUUCUGGGAUUCCACGUGCAGUAAAUGAUCGUGACAAUACACAGAGCAACUAGUGCAAAACUAAAUUGAAGUAAGAAAAAACAAGAAGAAUGGAGACUGGAGAAAAUUGUUGGCUCCUUUUAGUUUUUUCUGUGAAUUUGAUGAAGUGGGAGUAGAUGGAUGAAAUUAGAGAAGAAAACACUUUGAAAAGAGGAAGAAAA